rnacentral:rRNA from 1 species
GAUGAACGCUGGCGGCGUGCCUAAUACAUGCAAGUCGAGCGAACAGAUGAGGAGCUUGCUCCUCUGACGUUAGCGGCGGACGGGUGAGUAACACGUGGAUAACCUACCUAUAAGACUGGGAUAACUUCGGGAAACCGGAGCUAAUACCGGAUAAUAUAUUGAACCGCAUGGUUCAAUAGUGAAAGACGGUUUUGCUGUCACUUAUAGAUGGAUCCGCGCCGCAUUAGCUAGUUGGUAAGGUAAUGGCUUACCAAGGCAACGAUGCGUAGCCGACCUGAGAGGGUGAUCGGCCACACUGGAACUGAGACACGGUCCAGACUCCUACGGGAGGCAGCAGUAGGGAAUCUUCCGCAAAGGGCGAAAGCCUGACGGAGCAACGCCGCGUGAGUGAUGAAGGUCUUCGGAUCGUAAAACUCUGUUAUUAGGGAAGAACAAAUGUGUAAGUAACUAUGCACGUCUUGACGGUACCUAAUCAGAAAGCGACGGCUAACUACGUG